rnacentral:rRNA from 1 species
GACAGAGGUGCCAAGCGUUAGGCGGAAUCACUGGGCUUAAAGCGUGUGUAGGCGGACUGGUAAGUACCUUGUGAAAUCCCACGGCUUAACCGUGGAACUGCUUGGUAUACUGCUGGUCUUGAGCCACCUAGGGGCGAGCGGAACAAAUGGUGGAGCGGUGAAAUGCGUAGAUAUCAUUUGGAACGCCAAUGGUGAAAACAGCUCGCUGGGGGUGUGCCGACGCUGAGACACGAAAGCCAGGGGAGCGAACGGG